rnacentral:rRNA from 1 species
AAACUUUCAACAACGGAUCUCUUGGUUCCGGCAUCGAUGAAGAACGCAGCGAAAUGCGAUAACUAGUGUGAAUUGCAGAUUUACGUGAAUCAUCGAGUCUUUGAACGCACAUUGCGCUCCCUGGUUCUCCAGGGAGCAUGUCUAUCCGAGCGUCGUU